rnacentral:rRNA from 1 species
AACGCGAAGAACCUUACCUGGGCUCGAAAUGUAGUGGAAUAGGGUGGAAACAUCCUAGGCUCGCAAGAGACUGCUAUAUAGGUGCUGCAUGGCUGUCGUCAGCUCGUGUCGUGAGAUGUUGGGUUAAGUCCCGCAACGAGCGCAACCCUUAUCCCUAGUUGCCAUCGGGUCAAGCCGGGCACUCUAGUGAAACCGCUCAGGAUAACUGGGAGGAAGGUGGGGAUGACGUCAAGUCCUCAUGGCCUUUAUGUCCAGGGCUACACACGUGCUACAAUGGUCGGUACAAACCGUCGCAAACCCGCGAGGGGGAGCUAAUCGGAAAAAGCCGGCCUCAGUUCGGAUUGGAGUCUGCAACUCGUCUACAUGAAGUUGGAAUUGCUAGUAAUGGCGUGUCAGCAACAACGCCGUGAAUACGUUCCCGGGCCUUGUACACACCGCAUAC